AGCGGCUCCGGUGCAGGGAGAAGGCGUUGUGGUGGCUCUGUGAGGGCUUCAUCCGGUUGUGGUGCUGAGCGAGGUCCGCCCGCCUUAACGUGCUGUGGUGUCACGAGAGGUGAGGCGCUGAAGAGCAUCCCCAGCUCUGCCAGAGCCCAUGGACGUGUGCCUGGACAAGCUCAGUGUGACUCUGCCUCAGCUCCUCAUCCCCAGGACGUGGCUCAUCCCCUUGCUGUGGUUCAGAGGCUGUUGCGCAGCAAUCCCCAUCAAUGCCUCCAAGGUGCUCGGUUGCUAUGGAGAUGGGGAAUCCAGAGAAAUCCAGACGCUGGCGGAGCCUCCCUGGAGACUGGGAGGUGCUGGGAGCUCCUCUGUGCCUCACUGCACCCCACGCUGGGCUGGGCUGGGCUGUCCUGGCUGGAACGGCUACAGAGGGACAGCAUCCAAAGGAUGGAGCCGGAUACAGAGCAAGGCUCAAGGGUCCUCACACAGGCCCCCAGUCCCUGGUGCUGGUGGCCUGGAGCUGCUCUGAUUCUGGGCUGAAAGCACUGGAUUUUCUUUGGGUGUUCUCUUUCUUUCAGCACUAGACUCUGUGGAACAUGGUGCAGUCAGAGCUCUGUGGAUAUCCCUGUUCAGAAAGGGAUGUGACAGCCAAGAUAAAUGGCAGGAGGAACA